rnacentral:piRNA from 1 species
UGAUCGCUUCGUGGUGCUCUGUGC